rnacentral:rRNA from 1 species
UACGUAGGGGCCGAGCGUUGUCCGGAAUUACUGGGCGUAAAGCGCGCGCAGGCGGCUGAUCAAGCCUGACGUGAAAGCCCCCGGCUCAACCGGGGAGGGUCGUCGGGGACUGGUUGGCUUGAGGGCGGUAGGGGCCGGUGGAAUUCCCGGUGUAGUGGUGAAAUGCGUAGAGAUCGGGAGGAACACCAGUGGCGAAGGCGGCCGGCUGGGCCGACCCUGACGCUGAGACGCGAAAGCGUGGGGAGCGAACAGG